ACAAUUUUUCUAUCAAAUACUCUUAUCAGUAAUCACUACAUAUAUACAUACAUGUUCUGAUAUGAAUGUGACGAGCUCCGAUGCAGACGUACACGUGCAAUGAUUUAGAAUAUAUCUUUAAAUUGCAAUCUUAAAGUUAACAUUUAGUUGAAAUGUUUCAAUUCUAGAGUAGAGUUUUUUUUGUCAUAUAAGUAGCAGUAUGCAAAAGAUAAGAAUUUGACACAUAAUUAAUGCAGACUGCCGAUUCAGCAAUAACCCUACGAUUGCUAGUUCAGCAGAGAUUAUUAUUCGCUUCGAAAAUUGUGAAAGUUUUGUCAAGAUGCAGUUGAAAAGCGGAUUGGCAUCAAAAUAUAUGUACAUCACAUUUGUGAUUGCAGCCUACUGGGUGGUAUCCAUCCUGACUGUAUUUGUGAAUAAAGCACUUUUGUCCAGUGACACAGUAAAUUUGGAUGCUCCUCUAUUUGUAACUUGGUUUCAAUGUAUAGUAAGUGUAAUUAUUUGCAUUACUUUACACAAACUAUCGCAAUGGUUCCCAGAUUAUAUCCAAAUUGCUGAUGGCAAUCCAUUUAAAAAAGAUACACUGAAAAAGGUACUGCCAUUAUCAAUCUUAUUCACUGGAAUGAUAGCGACUAAUAACUUAUGCUUGAAAUACGUUGGUGUCGCAUUUUACUAUGUAGGUCGUUCGUUAACGACGGUAUUUAAUGUUAUUUUCACUUAUAUUUUACUCGGGCAAACAACAUCGCUCAAAUGCAUAAUUUGCUGCACGGUAAUUAUCGCUGGAUUCUGGUUAGGAGUCGAUCAAGAACACAUAGCGGGUUCUCUGUCUGUUCUCGGGACAUUUUUCGGCGUGCUUGGAUCGUUGCUGUUAUCCCUAUAUUCCAUCCGUAUGAAACAGACACUUCCAAUUGUAAAUCAAGAUAUCUGGUUACUUUCUUACUAUAAUAAUGUGUACAGCAUUUUUAUCUUCAUCCCGUUAAUGAUAAUUAAUGGCGAACUGACAAUCAUAUAUAAUUAUGAAAAGCUUGGACAUCUUUUUUUCUGGGGUGCUAUGACAGUCGGUGGUAUAUUCGGCUUUGCCAUUGGAUAUUUUACCGCACUUCAAAUAAAAGUCACGUCCCCUUUGACACAUAACGUCAGCGGUACCGCGAAAGCAUGUACUCAAACAGUUUUAGCAACUUAUUGGUUUAAUGAAGAGAAAUCGUUUCUCUGGUGGCUAAGCAAUAUCGUUGUCCUUACUGCCAGUGCGCUUUACGCGAGGAUUAGGCAACUAGAAUUGAGUAAAGAAUAUAACAAAGAUGAGACACGACAGUUGAAAGUAUAAUAAGGAAACGCAGAAGAAAUAGCAAUAUAUGGAAGAGAAGUUUUACAUAUACACAUAAAUUGCAAAAGGUUGUCCAACGAUUUUGCAACAAUAUGUAUAUACUAUUGUGUAAUCUGCGAGAUUCUCGAAGAUAAGUUGAGCCUUGUAUACGGCUUAAAAUCGUGAUGAAAUUCCAUUUCCACGA